rnacentral:rRNA from 1 species
GACGAACGCUGGCGGCGUGCCUAAUACAUGCAAGUCGAGCGGACAGAAGGGAGCUUGCUCCCGGAUGUUAGCGGCGGACGGGUGAGUAACACGUGGGUAACCUGCCUGUAAGACUGGGAUAACUCCGGGAAACCGGAGCUAAUACCGGAUAGUUCCUUGAACCGCAUGGUUCAAGGAUGAAAGACGGUUUCGGCUGUCACUUACAGAUGGACCCGCGGCGCAUUAGCUAGUUGGUGGGGUAAUGGCUCACCAAGGCGACGAUGCGUAGCCGACCUGAGAGGGUGAUCGGCCACACUGGGACUGAGACACGGCCCAGACUCCUACGGGAGGCAGCAGUAGGGAAUCUUCCGCAAUGGACGAAAGUCUGACGGAGCAACGCCGCGUGAGUGAUGAAGGUUUUCGGAUCGUAAAGCUCUGUUGUUAGGGAAGAACAAGUGCGAGAGUAACUGCUCGCACCUUGACGGUACCUAACCAGAAAGCCACGGCUAACUACGUGCCAGCCGCCGCCGUAACAC